GAGUUUGAUCGUGGCUCAGGACGAACGCUGGCGGCGUGCUUAACACAUGCAAGUCGAACGAGAAUCUACUGAAAGAGUUUUCGGACAAUGGAAGUAGAGGAAAGUGGCGGACGGGUGAGUAACGCGUGAGGAACCUGCCUUGAAGAGGGGGACAACAGUUGGAGACGACUGCUAAUACCGCAUGAUGCAUAAGGGUCGCAUGAUUCUUAUGCCAAAGAUUUAUCGCUUCAAGAUGGCCUGCGUCUGAUUAGCUAGUUGGCGGGGUAACGGCCCACCAAGGCGACGAUCAGUAGCCGGACUGAGAGGUUGAACGGCCACAUUGGGACUGAGAUACGGCCCAGACUCCUACGGGAGGCAGCAGUGGGGAAUAUUGGGCAAUGGGCGCAAGCCUGACCCAGCAACGCCGCGUGAAGGAGAAGGCUUUCGGUAUGUAAACUUCUAUCAGCAGGGAAGAAAAUGACGGUACCUGACUAAGAAGCCCGGCUAACUACGUGCCAGCCGCCGCCGU
rnacentral:rRNA from 1 species